CUGGGAGAAGACAAGGGAGAUUGCUGCAGCAAGGAUAAAAAGUGAAAUUGUAAUAAAUAAAUUUAUAAAUAAAAUUAAAUUUAAAAAAAAAGGAUGAAGCUCUGAUAGUGUCACCGGGGACUGCUUCACAACAAAGACCAUACACAGAGAGGACCUAGCCCUCCUGCUCAGAUGUGCAUAGAGAGCUCAGUCUCUAUAUGAGUUCCCUAGUAAGGGGAGAAGACAAUCUCUGACAUGAACUCUGUUGCCAACUUCUUGAUCACUUCUACGUGGAAUGGCGACCUAGAUAACCCACAGAGGAAGAGAAUUCAGGAAGUCCUGAUAGGCUAGGGUCAGACAAUAGGGAAGGAGGACUUUCCUUAUCAGUGGACUAGGGAAGAGGGACCAGGAGGAGAUGAAGGCGAGGGCUACAACUCGGACACAAAAGAAAGAAGAUCUAGACAGUCCUGAUGAGACCUGAUUGCCUAGAGUCAAAUAGUAGAUAUGGAGGGGCAAGAUGGCGGCGCCGGGAGGACUCUCAUUCUGAGCAGCAGCACAGCAGGAUCAUCACAGUGACCAGCAAUCAGAACUCUCGGCCAUAAAACACAGUCAAUGUGUUUCCCAGGAAGGACUCCAAGAUGGCGGCGAGCAGAGCACACUGUUUUGGAGAGGCAGAAGACAUGAAUUUCCGGAUUUGAUUUUUCUACCAGAGUCUUACCAAGAAGAUCGUUCUGGGGAAUCCAGUCAAACAGCCUUGUAUUGGAUCCUAAUGUGGCUGGUAUCUUUCCUUUGUAUCGCCACAAAACCUGUGGAAGACAAUGCUGAGAGAUUGCAGGAUUCUAUUGAGGUUCAGAGCAGUGCAUUUGAUGUGCCCUGAUCUGGGAAGAUACUCUGAUGUCACAGCUGCCAGCCUUGCCUUCUCCCCAAAAGCUCCUUGAGAAGAGGCUUUAGGUUGAGCCAAUAGCUCAGACCUUGUGUGCACUCCUGGACCAUGUCUCAGAAGCCAUGAUCAGCACAGCAGAGCCACAGCACAGAAAUCGCCACAGGCCUUUCUGGAAAGCCAUUGCUGCGCCUCCCCACCCGGCUCUGCAGAGGGUUAGUCUCUUCCAUUCAGUGAUAAUUUUUAUUAUUAUUAUUCAAUAUUAGUUACAGUUUAUUAACUCUGUAUCCCAUCUCUAUGCCGAUCCCUCAUUCUCUUCCAAUCCCACCCUCCCUCCCUCAUCUUCUCCCUUUCCAACUCCACUGAUAGGGGAGGACCUCCUCCUCUUUCAUCUGACCCUAGCUUAUCAGGUAUCUUCAGGCCUGGCUGCAAAGUCUUCUUCUGUGGCCUAGCAGGGCUGCUCCUCCCUUGGGGGGUGGGGAGGUCAGUUUAAACUUGAAGAAAGUCAACUACUAACUUCAAGAGUUAUACAGCACAAAAAUGGGGAGAAAUGUGUGAGCUCUUGUCUAUGUACAGCACUGAUAGUCUAUAGGCAUCCAUAGGCUCAUGAAAUUCAACCAUUUAAAUAUAUAUGCAUAUCGAUUAAUAUUAAAUGUGAAUUAGUUAAUGUUGAAUGCUAGUAUUAGAGUUUUACAUUGAAUAAAUGAGGGUCAAUUUAUUUUUGCUAUUGUUAUGAUAUUUAUUAAUAUUGGAAUUAAGUGGAAGCGUGCUUAUUCAAUUAUUUGUAUGUAUUUCUAUCAUCUCAUUUUAUAUAUUUUAUUCAAUUAUUACAGUUUCUAGGUUGAUGGUCAAUUUUUUUUUCCUUUUCAUUGGUUCUUUCUUUCUUUGAUAUUGUGUCCUCUCGCUGUUAAAUUUCAGAAUGUAUUUUAGAGUCACCUUCUCCUUUCAAAAUCUAAGUCUUAAAAUCAAUAUUUUUUUCAUAGACCAGAGUUUCACUUUAUUAAAGGAUAGAAUCUAAAACCCAAGUAUUGACACUGGGCAUUUUCAUUCCUUGUGGUGUUUAGACAUCUUUGGAGGACAAAGCAAGGAAUCAGUGAAUACCCUCUCCUCAUGUCCAAACAUUGUAUUCAACGGUGAGAAACCUGUGUCACCACAAGGUGAUAUGUACUUACUCCUUCAAUCUUAGUGAACAAAUAAGCCUAUAAAACACACAUUUGACAAGUAGAGAACAUUCAUCAUAAAAUUUGUGAAUACCGAAACAAUGAAGAAAACCUUUUACAAAGAAAGUACGGCACAAAUGUGCUUUCAUAUAUAUUUUUUUCUGAGUUUUAAAUGAUGAAUCUUGUUUUUUGUUUGUUUGUUUGUUUAUUUUUGUAUUUUUUAUAUUUCUCAGACUUUAUUUUUUUUUACAUUUUUUAAAUUUUUUUUACACUUUGUAUCCCCCCAUAAGUCCCUCCCUCCUCCUCUCCCAGCCCCACCUUCCCUCCCUCUUCUUCAUGCAUGCUCCUCCCCAAGUCCCCUGAUAGGGGAGGUCCUCCUCUCCUUCCUUCUGAUCUUAGUCUAUCAGAUCACAUCCAGAGUGGCUGCAUUGUCAUCUUCUGUGGCCUGGUAAGACUGCUCUCCCCUCAGGGGGAGGUGAUCAAAGAGCAGGCCUAUCAGAUUGUGUUGGAGGCAGUCCCUCUUCCCAUUACUAUGUAACCCACUUAGACACUAAACUGCCAUGGAUUACAUCUGCACAGAGGUUCUAGGUUAUCUCCAUGCCUGGUACUUGGUUGGCGUAUGGGUCUCUGGGAAGACCCCUGUGUUCAAAUCUUCUGGUUCUGUUGCUCUCCUUGUGGGGUUCCUGUCCUCUCCAUAACCUACUAUUUCCUACUUCUUACGUAAGAUUCCAUGCACUCUGCCCAACAGUUGGCCAUAAAGUCUCAGGGUCUGCUUUGAUAGUCUGCAGGGCAGAGACUUUCAGAUGCCCUCUGAAAGUGGCAGGUUCCUAGGUUGUUUGCUGCUUUCUUCUUCUGAUGUCCAUCCUCUUUGCCUUUCAGGAUGGGGAUUGAGAGUUUUAGUCAGGGUCCUCUCUGUUGAUUAGUUUUUUUAGAUGUACAGAUUUUAGUAGGUUUAUCCUAUGAGUCUAUAUGAGUGAGUAUAUACCAGGCUAGACAAAAAAGGAGAGGUGCACUUAAAAUAUUUAAUAUUCUACAUACUUAAAGUCUAUAAUCACUUAUAGAUACAAGUAUCUAUUUAAAGCCUAUUGUACAAACUAUACAUUUAUGCUCCAGAUUCAUUCACUGAGAUGCAAUAACAUAAUUUUGCUAAUUAACUAUGAUUGUCUACUACAUGAGUCAGAAACCACAAUUUUCUUUGCCUAUGAUUUAGCAAUAGACAUUUAAAUUUCUCCUAUCCAGCUCUAUGGAUCCAACUGUCUCUGCUUCAAGAGCUCUAGUGUUAGAAGUAGGUGUUACUAUACCCUGUAUUUUCAUGUGGAUUAGGGGGAUCAAUAUCAAAUCUUCAUAACUGCAAAGCCACCCAUUACUGAUGAAGAAAUCUUACCAACCUUGUGAUUAUUUUCAUGUGUAGAAGAACUUUUAAGGUAAUAAACACCUCUAAUGGUUACUCUGCAGUGUUUAGGGAAAUAAACUAAUUGCCAGUCUCAGAAAGUGCCAAGAUGACAUACAAUGAAUUUAAGAUGUGACUUAAAGAAGAAGAUGAAUAUUUUAAUAAUCAAAUUUAAAAGAUGACUUAAUUUCUUACCCAAAGUAAAAACCUUUUCUCUUUAAAGCUAUGCUUUGUUUUGUGUUCUUUUGGCAUAACGAAAUUUACUUGGCUAAGUAACUGAUGAAGUGAAUCAGUUUACCUGGCUCACAGUGGGAGAUUGAAAUGUGACACCAGGAGGCCACCUUAAGCUCUGGGUCUGACUACAUCAAAACACAAUGGAUGGCAUUUCCACUGCAAAGCAUGUAAAAGCUAGAAAGCAACCACUCUGGAAGAUGGGACGCAAAGGAAACCGGAAUCUCUUCAAAAUGCAAGAAGGCAUCAGGAGUGGAGUUGAUGAAUAAAGUUGUUGAUGAAGUCAGUACAGUCACACUGUGAUUUCUUUGACUCAGCUCUUCAAGAAGAAUCUUAAUAUUUAACCAAUGGCU